rnacentral:rRNA from 1 species
GAUGAACGCUGGCGGCGUGCCUAAUACAUGCAAGUCGAGCGAACAGACGAGGAGCUUGCUCCUCUGACGUUAGCGGCGGACGGGUGAGUAACACGUGGAUAACCUACCUAUAAGACUGGGAUAACUUCGGGAAACCGGAGCUAAUACCGGAUAAUAUAUUGAACCGCAUGGUUCAAUAGUGAAAGACGGUUUUGCUGUCACUUAUAGAUGGAUCCGCGCCGCAUUAGCUAGUUGGUAAGGUAACGGCUUACCAAGGCAACGAUGCGUAGCCGACCUGAGAGGGUGACCGGCCACACUGGAACUGAGACACGGUCCAGACUCCUACGGGAGGCAGCAGUAGGGAAUCUUCCGCAAUGGGCGAAAGCUUGACGGAGCAACGCCGCGUGAGUGAUGAAGGUCUUCGGAUCGUAAAACUCUGUUAUUAGGGAAGAACAAAUGUGUAAGUAACUAGGCACGUCGUGACGGUACCUAAUCAGAAAGCCACGGCUAACUACG